rfam:Taeniopygia guttata chromosome 1A, whole genome shotgun sequence.
CCAAAGGCUCUUUUCAGAGCCACCCACAAAGUCCUAAGAGAGCUG